ACUUAGGUCAAGAACAGUGGCUUUUACUAUAUAUCCAUGUUGGAGUAAUAACUUGACCAGGCAUGAUGCUAUGUAACCGGAACGCCUGUUACACAUACUACUUUUCCUUCUCUACUCAUUCUCUUCUUCUUUCUCCUAAAGUAACAUAAAACAUCAUUUUCUUAUAGGCAGGACAUAAACAGCUAGAAAAGUUGCCACUGACCCAAUGAUCAAGUGUCCGCCUAACAAUACAGGAAAUUAAUUAAAAAAAUUCAAACUUUGACUUAUAAAUCCCUUAAGAAAAUUUUUGAACUAACAAAAAAAAUCAUAU
rnacentral:misc_RNA from 1 species